UAUCUAUUUGUUUAUUUAUUUUAGUAACCCUCACCUUCCGUCUUAGAGUCAAUACUAUGUAUUGGCUCCAAGGCAGAAGAGUGGUAAGGGCUAGGCAAUGGGGGUUAAGUGACUUGCCCAGGGUCACACAGCUGGGAAGUGUCUGAGGCCAGAUUUGAACCUAGGACCUCCCAUCUCUAGGCCUGACUCUCAAUCCACUGAGCCACCCAGCUGCCCCUAUCAUAGCUAUUUAAGGUAACAUUUACUUUGUUGUCUUUCAUGGCACAAAAACAAGGACUCUUGUUGAGUUUGUGGUCCACUAGAACCCCCUGAUCUCCCAAAUCAUAACAACAGCAAAUAACCCAAGUCUAUAUUCCAUUAGCCCUUUAUGGUCUUUCUCCUGAGGUUGUUCAUCUGGUACAUGAUGGAAACGGAAUUCAGCCUCACAUGUUCUCCUCUGAAUACAACAAUCACUUUACUCAUUUGAACUUUGGCCCACAGAGCGAAUUUCCUAUCACUCCUAUCACAAAUAAAUCAAUUUAUUGAGAUGAGAAAUCAUUUCUCCUACCCAGAACCAAGCCACAUAGGCAAAAGCAGUUUUGGGGUUCUUUUUGUGGCCAGUGAUCCUUGGUAUGGUACUGAUAAAUGAGUCCCUCAUUCCCCUUCUGUCCCCCAAGGAAGGCUUCAAACCUAGGAGACAGGGUGGAUAAUGUCGCCACCGACAGGAGCGUGAACAGGUUUAGGGGAAAAGACAAUGAACUUGACCUGGAGGCACCAGCGGGACUGAACCCCAAUGCCAAUCCCAGCCAACGCCAUGGCCUUGGCCCCAGCUCUGAUCAUCCCAAGUCUCCGUAAGAGUGCUUUGGGGAGCCAAACUCUCCUGGCCUGGAGAGACAAGGAGGCAAGCCUGGCCCUAAACUGGCUUGGGAAAGAGCUCCCUGAUGGAGCCACAAGUCUUCCAAUGAGUGGAUGGCCUGUUGCCAUGGGAACUCAGAGGAUGUGCACAAAUAAGGGAGCUAGUCUUCAGGUGGGGAGACAAAGCAGGAGGCAGGCAAGCGGCCUCCGGGCAGAAGCAGACAGGACUGGAGGUGGGACAGGAUGGAUCCUUGGCCUGGUGCCUGAAUACAAGGUUUGA
rnacentral:lncRNA from 1 species